CUCAGGGAAAUAAGCCAGUCACAGGUGGACAAAUAAUGUGUGGUUCCACUUAGGUGAGGUACCUAAAGUAGUCAAAGUCGUAGAAAGUAGAAUGGGUAUUGCCAGGGGCUGGGGAAGCAGAGAGUGGGGAGUUAGAGUUAGAUGGGUACAGAGUUUCAGUUCAGGAAGAUGAAAUCGUUCUGGAGGUGGAUGGUGGUGGUGGCUGCACAACAUUAUGGACGUACACUUAAAAGCGGUGAAAAUGGUAAACUUAAUUUUAUAGAUACUUUACCACAAUGUAAGAAAUAAAAAAUAUAAAAAUGAAAACACAUUGCUCACAGCCCCAAGAAUGACUGAGAUGGAUUUUCCACCAGCUCAGCAGGGGAAGGGCUGAGUUAGACUUGAUUUGAUUUGAAAGGAAGAGAGAAGAGCAGCCUUUCCUGUCUGAGUUUGCACGGUCAGGUUCACACCUGUUACAAACCCAAGGCCCCAGUAGCCAUGCUGGACGCUGCACCCUGAUAUGGUUUGGAUUCGGGUCCCCGCCCACAUCUCCUAUCAAAUUGUAAUCCUCGGUGUUGGGGGAGGGGCCCGAUGGGAGGCGAUUGGAUCACGCGGGCGAACUUCCCCUUUGCUGUUCUCGUGAUAGUGAGUUCUCACCAGAUCUGGUUGUUUAAAAGUGUGGGCUGGGCAUGGUGGCUCAUGUCUGUAAUCCCAGCACUUUGGGAGGCCGAGGCGGGCAGAUCACCUGAGGUCAGGAGUUCAAGACCAGCCUGGCCAACAUAGUGACACCCCGUCUCUACUAAAAUUACAAAAAUUAGCCAGGCGUGUUGGCACGCACCUGUAAUCCCAGCUACUCAGGAGGCUGAGGCACGAGAAUCCCUUGAAUCCAGAAGGCGGAGGUUGCAGUGAACCGAGAUCUCACCACUGUCCUCCAGCCUGGGCGACAGCCAGACUCUGUCUUGGGGGAAGAAAAAAAGCGUGUGGCACGUCCCCCUUCACUCUCUUCCUACUGCCCCAGCCUUGUGGGACGUGCUGGCUCCCCGUUCACCUUCCGCCACAAUUGGAAGUUUCCCGAGCCCUCCCCAGCCAUGCUUGCUGUACGGCCUACAGAACCAUGAGCCAAUUAAACCUCUUUCUUUAUAAAUUACCCAGUCUUGCGUAGUCCUUUACAGCAAGGCGAGAACGGACUCACACACCGUUUUCAGCACUCCCUUGCCCCAUGCCUGAGCCCCUCUCAUCCUUACUCCCCAGGGUUGGGGCUGGGUGGGAGGGAGGCAGGCAGGGAGAGAGGAUAUCUUUUUCAUUCAUUACAUUAGAAUAACUUCUUUUCCAUGCUGAAAGCUUAAUGAUUUGUUUUCUAGGUCACCUCAAAAUGUCCCCAAGCCAUCGCUGGAACUACCCGAUGAAGUCAUUCUUCCUUACAAAGUAGAUUCCGUUGCUAGGGCUGCCAUAACCAAAUGCCGCAGCCUGGGUGGCUUCAACAGAAUUUCAUUUCCCCACAGUCCUGGGAGCUGGAAGCCCAAGGUCCAGGCGCUAUCUUCCAAUUCAGCCAUUCGGAGGUCUUGGCGGUUGAAACUUCAAGACAGGAAUUUGGAGUGAGGACACAGUUCAUUCCAUACACAAAGACAGGAGCGGCUUCAUCCAGAACCCGGAAGGUCUGUCCCUCUACAGAAACCCAGAUCUAAUCGUGUCGCAUCCCACACCAGAGCCCACUGCGUCAGCCCAGAGGAUAUGUCAUUUGGCAGCAAAGCCUCAUCACAGAUAGAACCAGCUCCUCAGGCACCCUCAUUCCUGGAGAGGCACUUGACGGGGCAGAGCCUGAAGCAGAGUUUCCAGGAAGACAAGAAGGCCAACUUCCCUAGGAACUGCAGAUGGAGGUCCCGCUCAUGUGUUUCUGCGAAUUAAGGUGGGGCCUUGGUGAAAGAGCAGAAGAGCUCCCCAAG
rnacentral:lncRNA from 1 species